GCAGAGGCUGGAGGGGGUCCACCACCUGCAGCCUUCAUAGUGGCUGAGGAGAUGGCCCUCAGCCAACAGAGUAUGCGUCCUUUGGCUGAGGGCAUCCCUGGAGGGAGCUCCUCUGAUCCCCCCCACCCCCCAGGAUAGAAGUGCCUUUAUAAGAGUUACUGAUGGCGUCAUCGCCCUACUGGAACCAGAUGCCCUCACCAACCUCCAUGCAAUUGAAGAUGAUGGAGAAACAUUGUCUGCGGCAUUUGAAAGGGAAGAGGAAAGGCCUAUUGAGGAUGAAAUCGAAUUCAAUGAGAGGCCAUCCACUUCUAAUUCACAGCUUACCUCUCUUCCAGUCAAAGAGCUCUAUAAAAUCUAUCUGGAAAAACAAAUAAACAAAGCAGACUUGGAAAUGGACCACAUUAGGCAAAAGUUGCAAAAGGAUGCUUUGGAACAUAUGUUAAAGGUGGGUGAGGUGCAAACUGGGAUACUGUUUCCUGCUCCAAAA